UACAGAGGUCUCAAGCGUUGUUCGGAUUCAUUGGGCGUAAAGGGUGUGUAGGUGGCGCCGUAAGUCGGGUGUGAAAUUUCGGAGCUUAACUCCGAAACUGCAUUCGAUACUGCGGUGCUUGAGGACUGGAGAGGAGACUGGAAUUCAUGGUUUAGCAGUGAAAUGCGUAGAGAUCAUGAGGAAGACCAGUGGCGAAGGCGGGUCUCUGGACAGUUCCUGACACUGAGACACGAAGGCCAGGGGAGUAAACGGG
rnacentral:rRNA from 1 species